rnacentral:lncRNA from 1 species
UCACCAAUCUACUAGGCUUCGAAUUUCAUGGGUAAUGUUUUGUUUUUAAGUGCAUACAAGCAUGAUUCCGUCUUUUAAUUGUUAAUUGCAUGCUAUAGAUGUUAUUCAAAUGAACAUGCUUUCACAAAAUUUUCCUUCAAGUGGUAUCAGAGCCUAGGUCUAGUAGUUGGUGAAUCCUUUCGGGUUUUGUAGUUCAUAGUCUUUGAUUUAAAUGUUGUAAUAUGUUACAAGCUUUAUUCUUUCUUUUUUUAAUGUAAAUUUUGUUAGAAAAUUUGCCAUCUCAAAUGUUGUAGAUGUAGUUCAUAUGAGCAUGAAUUUUGGAGCUAAAAUUUGGUGCCAUGUUUUUGGGGAUUUUUGGCCAAAUCCAAAGGGUGGAUUUUUGGGUUCUUGUUUGUCUUGUUAAAAAUGUUUUCAAGUGACUUUUGGAACCCCUAUGUACCCUAGUUUGGUUAUAUGUUAUUUCCCAUAAGUUUGAAUGGUUUUGGGAUGUUUUUGGGUGAAAAAUGUUCAUGGAAAUUUUUUUGAGUUUUUCAUGAGCGUUCUUCAUUGUUCUUGACAUUUUUGCCAACAACAAAAAGUUUGGUGUUUUGAUUCAAAGUUUUGAUUUAUUUCAUAAAGUUUAUGUUUUAUGUUUUUCAUAUGUGUAAAUGUAUUAGAUAUUUGUUUAGAAAGGUGAUGGAAUUAUUGGUGGGUGUGUAAGGAUUAAUUCCCUUUCACACACACCACUUGCACCACUUGCACCACUUGCAUGCUUUAUGUCAAACUUACCAAUCAACACACACAUCGCUCCUUUCACCUCUCCAAAACCGGCCACUCCCUCAAUGGGAGUACUUUUGGGGCUUUUAUGCAAUUACAUAAAGUUUUGAUACUUUUGUGUAUUUGCACUAUGGCCCAAAAGUUUACGUUUUUACGUAAAGGCCCAAAAUCAUUAAAAGACAAAUUGUUUUGUUCCUUUAAUGAAGUUUUUCAACUUGUUGAAAUUUUUGGGUUCUAGUUGUAAUUACAUGAAGUAGUGGACUUUUGUGUUUUUACAAAAUGAGCUCAAAAGUUUAAGUUUUGCAACAUAGCCGAAAGUUUGAGGUUAUUGCAUUUUGGCCCAAAUUAAGUUGAGAACAAAAUUGUUUUGUCUCUUUAAAUGAGAAUUGGAUUUUCAUUUCAUUUAGCUCCAUUUAAAUCAAUUUUAUGGAUACAAAAAACCAAAUGAAAAUGUUGCAUUCAAUUUAAUUAGUUAAAGUGUUGAUUAAUUAAAGGGUGAUUAUGAACCUAAGCCUACGAUAAUUGAGCUAUGUGAUGUUGGAAAUGUGCCCUAAAACCAAUCAUAUGAUAAUACUUUACGGACAUUUCACAUGUUAAACUAAUCUAGUUUAAUAUCAAGGGCAAAGAUUAUUGUUUGAGCCCUCUCAUAUAAAUGUUAUAUGCUUAAACGAUAAGUCCAAGGAAUAUGUGAUUGGGAGAAUGCGAUCUAAAGAAGUUAGAUUCAUGAGACCAUUUUGUCGUAGACACAUCCUAAACGUUCCUGAUCAUAGGAUUGCCAAUUGGGCAUUGACAGUCCGUUAAGAUCAGUACGUGCUGUGUAUUCUCUCAGGGAGAGUGACCAGUCUCGAGUCAUUGGUGUGUGUGACAUCAAGACAAGUACGUAGGUGCUCAAUAGUGAAUGAGUUCACUGAACAUGAUCAACGAAGAGUUCUCAUAUUCAUGUCACAUGAGAACUCAUGGUUGGGAUAAUGCAAAGUAGUCCUUUGACCUGAGGCAUCACGUUUGUCUUGUGGUUAAGUCCUUGAUCUUUGAUUAUGUCAAAGUCACUCCAUCAGGAGGGUGUCCACGGCAUAGUUGGGGUUAAGCCACUUAGCUAUGGAGGCAAGUGAAUGCGCAACAAGGGAUCUCUAACCUUCAAACCGUUUGAGGGAGAAUACUCUAUGAUAUGAUUAAGAAUUUCUGGCCUGAGUCGUUCCAAAUCACAUUCAAGGU